rnacentral:rRNA from 1 species
GAUCCUGGCUCAGGAUGAACGCUGGCGGCGUGCCUAAUACAUGCAAGUCGAACGCUUCACAUUUGUGAAGAGUGGCGAACGGGUGAGUAAUACAUAAGUAACCUGGCAUCUACAGGGGGAUAACUGAUGGAAACGUCAGCUAAGACCGCAUAGGUGUAGAGAUCGCAUGAACUCUAUAUGAAAAGUGCUACGGGACUGGUAGAUGAUGGACUUAUGGCGCAUUAG